rnacentral:rRNA from 1 species
CAAUAGCGUAUAUUAAAGUUGUUGCGGUUAAAAAGCUCGUAGUUGGAGUUCUGCCAGGUGACGCUCGUCCGCCCAAGUGGUGUGUACAGGGCGUGCAUCUGGCCCUUUCAAGGGGAACGUGUCUGCACUUUACUGUGUGGUGCGAGAUCCUUGACUUUUACUUUGAGGAAAUCAGAGUGUUCCAAGCAGGCUCUCGUCGUGUAUAGCUCAGCAUGGAAUAAUAGCAUUGGACUUCGUUUCUAAGCUGUUGGUUGCAAGAAGCGAGGUAAUGAUGAAGAGGGAUAGUUGGGGGCAUUCGUAUUUAACUGUCAGAGGCGAAAUUCUUGGAUUUGUUAAAGACGGACUACUGCGAAAGCAUCUGCCAUGGAUGUUUUCAUUGA